CCUACGGUGGGCAGCAGUGAGGAAUAUUGGUCAAUGGGCGCGAGCCUGAACCAGCCAAGUCGCGUGAGGGAAGACGGUCCUAUGGAUUGUAACCCUCUUUUGUCGGGGAGCAAAAGACGCCACGCGUGGCGUUCCGAGCGUACCCGAAGAAAAAGCAUCGGCUAACUCCGUGCCAGCAGCAGCGGUAAUACGGAGGAUGCGAGCGUUAUCCGGAUUUAUUGGGGUUAAAGGGUGCGCAGGCGGAAGAUCAAGGCAGCGGUAAAAUUGAGAGGCUCAACCUCUUCGAGCCGUUGAAACUGGUUGUCUUGAGUGAGUGAGAAGUAGGCGGAAUGCGUGGUGUAGCGGUGAAAUGCAUAGAGAUCACGCAGAACUCCGAUUGCGAAGGCAGCAUACCGGCGCGCAACUGACGCUCAUGCACGAAAGUGUGGGUAUCGAACAGGAUUAGAUACCCUUGUAGUC
rnacentral:rRNA from 1 species